rnacentral:tRNA from 1 species
GGAGAGUUGCCGGAGUGGUUAACGGAACAGUUUGCUAAACUGUCGGUAUGAUAAAAAAAUACUGCGUGGGUUCGAAUCCCACAUUCUCCG